rnacentral:misc_RNA from 1 species
AACGCACAUUGCGCCCUCUGGUAUUCCGGGGGGCAUGCCUGUUCGAGCGUCAUUACAACCCUCAAGCUCAGCUUGGUAUUGGGCCUCGCCGGUUCCGGCGGGCCUCAAAGUCAGUGGCGGUGCCAUCCGGCUUCAAGCGUAGUAACACUCUCGCUUCUGGAGACCCGGGUGCGUGCUUGCCAGCAACCCCAAUUUUCUCAAGGUUGACCUCGGAUCAGGUAGGGAUACCCGCUGAACUUAA